GCCUAUGUGGUGUAGUGGUUUGAGCUUUGGACUAUGACUCUGGAGACCAGGGUUUGAAUCCCAGUUAGACC